rnacentral:tRNA from 1 species
AGCCUUGGAGUGUUAUCAUGUAGGAUUGCAAAUCUUAAGAAGCAAGUUAGCAGCUUGCCGGGGCUU